AGCGAACGUUAGCGGCGCGCCUAACACAUGCAAGUCGCACGAGAAAGGGGCAACCCCGGUAAAGUGGCGCACGGGUGAGUAACGCGUGGGUGAUCUGCCUUGGAGAGGGGGAUAACCUGCCGAAAGGCGGGCUAAUACCGCGUAUGACCACGGGGUUUUGGCUUUGUGGUGAAAGAGGGCCUCUGUUUACAAGCUCUCGCUCCGAGAUGAGUCCGCGUCCCAUCAGCUAGUUGGUAGGGUAAUGGCCUACCAAGGCAACGACGGGUAGCUGGUCUGAGAGGAUGGCCAGCCACACUGGAACUGAGACACGGUCCAGACUCCUACGGGAGGCAGCAGUGGGGAAUCUUGCGCAAUGGGCGAAAGCCUGACGCAGCGACGCCGCGUGGGUGACGAAGGCCUUCGGGUGUAAAGCCCUGUGGGAGAGAACGAACUGGCAUACAGUGAACACCUGUGUGUCUUGACGGUACUCUUUUAGCAAGCAUCGGCUAACUCUGUGCCAGCCGCCGCCGUAACAC
rnacentral:rRNA from 1 species